CCCGUACUGAUACCAGGCUUCCCCUUUGGAACAGGUCUCUAUCUCAAGCAGUUUUUAUCAGGGGUGGAUAUGUGGGAUUCGGUGAGAUGUUACUCUAGGACAGGAGCCCAUGGUGGGGAUGUCAGCAGAACAGGCUACACUUUGGAGAACAAACCGCCCUGACUGAUUUAAAGUUGAAAGAUAUGCUACAUAGCAUUCUUCCAUCAUACCGGGAGAGAUGGAGUCAGUAGGAGCUGUGUCUUUUGUAUAACUGGUUGUAAGGAUGUUUUGAGUCAAAGAUGAGGCCCUGGAACUUGAGAUCAUUUC
rnacentral:lncRNA from 1 species